UCCCUCUUAGCUCAGUGGUAGAGCGCUUCACUAGUAAUCAAAGAAUACAUGAAGAGGUCAGUCGUUCAAGUCGGCUAGAGGGAA